UACGGGGGGGGCAAGCGUUGUUCGGAAUUACUGGGCGUAAAGGGCGCGUAGGCGGCCUGCUAAGUCGGAUGUGAAAUCCCUCGGCUCAACCGAGGAACUGCAUCCGAUACUGGCGGGGUUGAAUCCGGGAGAGGGAUGUGGAAUUCCAGGUGUAGCGGUGAAAUGCGUAGAUAUCUGGAGGAACACCGGUGGCGAAGGCGGCAUCCUGGACCGGUAUUGACGCUGAGGCGCGAAAGCUAGGGGAGCAAACGGG
rnacentral:rRNA from 1 species